GCUCCUCUAGCUCAAUGGUAGAGCAGUGGACUUUUAAUCCAUUGGUUCAGGGUUCGAGCCCCUGGGGGAGCA
rnacentral:tRNA from 1 species